rnacentral:rRNA from 1 species
UAGCAGUGAGGAAUUUUCCGCAAUGGGCGAAAGCCUGACGGAGCAAUGCCGCUUGAAGGACGAAGGCCUGUGGGUUGUAAACUUCUUUUCUCAGAGAAGAAAUAAUGACGGUAUCUGAGGAAUAAGCAUCGGCUAACUCUGUGCCAGCAGCCGCGGUAAGACAGAGGAUGCAAGCGUUAUCCGGAAUGAUUGGGCGUAAAGCGUCUGUAGGUGGCUUGAAAAGUCUCCUGUCAAAGAUCAGGGC